AAUCUGUUGUGUGGACAGUCUCGCACCAAUCUCUUAAACCUCGCCCAGGCGUCGCUGAGUGAUUCGUCAAUUUCCUGUUCAAAAUUCGUGAUUAACUUCUAAAAUU